UGGGUUAGUCCCGCACGAGCGCACCCUCGUCCUUAGUUGCCAUCAUUCACGAUUGGGCACUACUCAGGAAACUGCCGCGUGAUAAGCCGGAGGAAGGUGGGGAUGACAUCUAGUCCUCAUGGCCCUUACACGCUGGGCUACACACGUGCUACAAUGGCGGUGACAGUGGGCAGCAACCGGGCGACCGGUAGCUAAUCUCCAAAAACCGUCUCAGUUCGGAUUGUUCUCUGCAACUCGAGAGCAUGAAGGCGGAAUCGCUAGUAAUCGCGGAUCACCAUGCCGCGGUGAAUACGUUCCCAGGCCUUGUACACACCGCCCGU
rnacentral:rRNA from 1 species